GAUGAACGCUGGCGGCGUGCCUAAUACAUGCAAGUCGAGCGAACGGACGAGAAGCUUGCUUCUCUGAUGUUAGCGGCGGACGGGUGAGUAACACGUGGAUAACCUACCUAUAAGACUGGGAUAACUUCGGGAAACCGUAGCUAAUACCGGAUAAUAUUUUGAACCGCAUGGUUCAAAAGUGAAAGACGGUCUUGCUGUCACUUAUAGAUGGAUCCGCGCUGCAUUAGCUAGUUGGUAAGGUAACGGCUUACCAAGGCAACGAUGCAUAGCCGACCUGGGAGGGAGAUGCGCCCCCAGGGUAAGGAGAAACGCUCCAACACCCAACGGAGGGCGCCGGUGGGGACUCUCCGGAAAGGGGCGAACGCUUAACGGAGCAACGCGGCGGGGGCGAGAAAGGUUUUCGGAUGGGAAAACUUUUUUAUUAGGGAAAAAAAUAUGUUUAAGUAACGGGCCCACCUUUGACGGCACCAAACGAGAAACCCCGGCUCAAUUCCCA
rnacentral:rRNA from 1 species